GUUGGUCUCAUCUGGAGAGAAGCUCAACCAUAAAUGCCUUGUUGCACUGUUCAGGCUGCACCAGGAGGAGAGAGUACCAUCUAAAGAAUGUUGAUUGAAAACCAGAGGCAAAAAUAGGGCGGCCUAGAGGAUGAGGGUCUGAAACAGUGCCCUGAAAGGAGCUGUUGCCCAAAAUGCCAAAAUCUGCAAUGUGGCUUUUUAGCUUUGCUGUCUUGGCUCUGCUAGUUUGGUGCCUGAUUUAUCAGAUAAGAAUUUGAACCCCAAAGUGCUACAAGAGUUAUGACCGCAAAGACAUGGGUAGCAGGUAGGUAUUGAGGCCGAUUAUUAACAAAUACAUUAGUGAUUUAUGCACUCGCAUGUGGUCCUUCUUCCAGGUAGACCCCUGAAGAGGUCAUAGCUUUGUUCCAAUUACGUGGCAGUUUCCUAUCUAUUCUGGGAAUUACUCUUUGGAAAUUGCCAUCAGAACCCAAACGUACUUUUUAAAUGUCCACAAUUAUGACAAAUCUAGAUUUGAUUCUUUGAAACAGCCUAGAAUUAAUGGGAGCUAAGUCUGGUGAAUUAGUCCAAUGAUUAAGCAUCACAGUACUGUUCAGGGCCACGUGAUGUGCAAUCCAGCCUUCACAAUAACAUGGCCAGACAAAGCACAGGAGGAUCGGACGCAGGGCCAGUAGGGAGGAGGGAGGACAUGGGAAAGUGGAACCCCACUUAGUCAGGGUAGGUUAUGGGCUUACGAUAUCCUUGCUUCUCCAAAGUGCCCAAGGUACUAAACCCCAAAAAGCAAAGCAGAAUCAGACACGGUUUAGAAGGCCUGGUAUGAGUUGGGAUUUAUAGAAUCAACCAUAAUAUUGGAGUGACGUCGCUCUGGUUUCUUAGACUGAGAGCUCCUUUUUUUCGGCACAUCUGCUCAGGGGCAUAAAGAACAGAACCAGGCUCUGGUAAGAAGAUUUGUAAGAGUGAUAUACAAAUGGUAUGAAUAGGAGUUUAGGAGGAACCACCAGUUAUGUGGGGAGAAUGGAGCAUGAAGCAGGUUGACCAGAUGGAUAGACUUGCUUAUUAUGGGAGAAGCUCAGUGCUUCAUUGAGCUCCUUACUGAGUCCUUUUCUGCCCAGGUGGUCUGCUUUCUGGCUUUCUUUACAUUGUCUUCUUACCACUCUCCCCUUUGUUCUCUGAGCUUCCACCAAAAAAAAGCCAACCAAUGGCUUUCUUUCUGUUCUUUAAACACAUCUACUUCCUUUCUGCUCUCGCUGUCAUUCUUCCUAGGACACAUUUACUUUAGACUUCCACCUGACUGGCUCUCUCCCAUGUAGGUCUUAACUCCAAUAUUAACAUCUCUGACCUUUCAGACCAAAGUAGUUUCCCUUCUUUUUAACCAAACACCCCCCUAAUGUCCCAGUUACUUUUAACCCAGUACCCUGUUUUGUGUCCUUUGUAGCAUAUCCAAACUCGCAUUGAUUAUUUGCUCGCUUCUUUCUUACCCACCUGCCAGCCUUAGAAUGGAAUUCGGUGAGGGCAGGGUCUUUGUUCUCACAUUGACCCUCAGAGCUGUAACUGUGCAUGAUGCAUGACAGGUACUCAAUCAGGAUCUACCAAAUGAAUCAACAUGUGAACAAUAGCUUGAUCCAUCAGAUAGAAUUAGCCCUCUUAAUUUGAAGGGUAAGAGAAUUCAGGGAAUGAAUAGAAUCUCCCGGUGUCACUUGGUCCCAGAAUUAUUUCACUGUAGGUUUUAGGUAAUGAGGGCUGUUCCAUUU
rnacentral:lncRNA from 1 species